AUUUUGGACAAUGGGGGCAACCCUGAUCCAGCAAUGCCGCGUGAGUGAAGAAGGCCUUCGGGUUGUAAAGCUCUUUUGUCAGGGAAGAAACGGUGAGGGCUAAUAUCCUUUGCUAAUGACGGUACCUGAAGAAUAAGCACCGGCUAACUACGUGCCAGCAGCCGCGGUAAUACGUAGGGUGCAAGCGUUAAUCGGAAUUACUGGGCGUAAAGCGUGCGCAGGCGGUUAUGCAAGACAGAUGUGAAAUCCCCGGGCUCAACCUGGGAAUGGCAUUUGUGACUGUAUGGCUAGAGUGUGUCAGAGGGGGGUAGAAUUCCACGUGUAGCAGUGAAAUGCGUAGAUAUGUGGAGGAAUACCGAUGGCGAAGGCAGCCCCCUGGGAUAACACUGACGCUCAUGCACGAAAGCGUGGGGAGCAAACA
rnacentral:rRNA from 1 species